rnacentral:rRNA from 1 species
CCUACGGGAGGCUGCAGUGAGGAAUAUUGGUCAAUGGACGAGAGUCUGAACCAGCCAAGUAGCGUGAAGGAUGACUGCCCUAUGGGUUGUAAACUUCUUUUAUAUGGGAAUAAAAUGCUCCACGUGUGGGAUUUUGUAUGUACCAUAUGAAUAAGGAUCGGCUAACCCCGUGCCAGCAGCCGCGGUUAUACGGAGGAUCCGAGCGUUAUUCGGAUUUAUUGGGUUUAAAGGGAGCGUAGGUGGAUUGUUAAGUCAGUUGGGAAAGUUUGCGGCUCAACCGUAAAAUUGCAGUUGAAACUGGCAGUCUUGAGUGCAGGAGAGGUAGGCGGAAUUCGUGGUGUAGCGGUGAAAUGCUUAGAUAUCACGAAGAACUCCGAUUGCGAAGGCAGUUCACUGGACUGCAACUGACGCUGAGGCUCGAAAGUGUGGGGAUCAAACAGGAUUAGAUACCCGGGUAGUC